rnacentral:rRNA from 1 species
GACAGAGGGGGCAAGCGUUGCUCGGAAUCACUGGGCGUAAAGGGCGCGUAGGCGGGAUGGCAAGUCGGUCGUGAAAUCCUUCGGCUCAACCGAAGAACGUCGGCCGAUACUGCCGUUCUUGAGGGAUGCAGAGGAGAUUGGAAUUCCCGGUGUAGCGGUGAAAUGCGCAGAUAUCAGGAGGAACACCGGUGGCGAAGGCGGGUCUCUGGGCAGUAACUGACGCUGAGGAGCGAAAGCGUGGGGAGCGAACAGG